rnacentral:lncRNA from 1 species
AAUAAAAUAGCUGACAUUUACUGAAAGUUUUAGCUUCAGCUGUGUUAACUCCUUACAGGCUUUCAAGGAGACUUGCAAGCAGCAGCUUAUUUUAAGCUGAUAUCAUGUCUAAGUUAAGGUCACAGUUGAUAUAAAAAUAAUGAUAGAAUUAAAUGCUGUGUUGGCUGAGUACAGGUGUAGGACAGUGGAGAUGUCUUCUCAUUUCCCAGCAUGGACAACAGAUACUGUGGCUGACCUUGGAUAAAGGAGUCUUUCUCAGACUUCAAUUUCCCGUCUGUGAAAGGGGGCUAAUAUCUUCCUACCGCAGAGGCAUGUAGUGAAAAUAAUGUCUAUUCAUGUCAGUGAGGCACUUACCCUGUGAGGUUUAGAUAGACACUAGAUAGUUUCAGCAGCUAUAAUGCCAGGUGGUGACAUAGGUUAUGAACAGCAUGCCUACCUAGGGAGGAGGCAUUGUAGCUACUAAAAUAGGUUGCUCUUGUUCAGUACUUCACAGCAUCACUGAAUUCCAGCUUUGUCAUCUGUAUUUACAUUCAUACUAAGUCUUUUGGGAGUUGUAUUCAUUUUUCUUAUAUAUAACUACUGACACUAGGUUUUUCUGCUCCUUGCUUCUCAGGUGUAGUUGCAUUUACUCUUACUGGCACUCAUAGGCAUUGGAGAGAAGGAAGAGUGCAGCUGCCAUUAACAUUCCCAUUAAUCUGCAGGCUACUGUGACAGUCCAAAAAAUGACCAGAAUUACCAGCCAAUUGGCAUGAUGCUGAUGCAAGUCCUCCAAAUGUGCAGCUGCUGCCCUGGCAUCCAUGGUGAUUUUAAUAGCAGUGGUGGCAUGUAUUAAUUAAAUCAGCAGGGAAACAGCAAGUUUAUGACAUGGCUUAAAGGAAAACUGAAUGUACAUCAUUAAUACAGAGGAGAAAAGACAUUUGGCACAUGUCAGCCUGGACAGACAAUGUCUGCAAAGUCCCGCUUGUUUUCACCUCUGUUACCCUGUAAGGAUGCUUUGCAGACUCUCAGCCCCGGCUCCUCUGCUGCCACAGGCUCACAGCGACUGACAGGAGCACAUGAAGCAGGAGGCUGAUUAAUAUUGACCGCAGGUAGCGCUCCCUGCCACGCCACCACCGCGGAGGCCUUGACAGUUCCAUGACCCUCAUCCUCGCACUGCUCCCCUCCCUCCGGCUGCCUCCCACUCUGCUACUUGAACAAAACAUCACAUCAGCAUUGUUUACUGCAGGAACUCAGCCAAGGAAGUCAUAACAAGACAAUAGACAUACAAUCUGAUAACCUUGUUAGCUCGGUGGAAUCAGAGCUCCUAACAAGUAGAAGAGUUCAGUAAAGCAGAAUAAAAGUAUUACAGUAUUUGUUGUCAAUGGCUUUUCAGCUCCGUCUUUGAAAACGUAGCAUUUCUUGUGCUUUUAUUUAAGAUUAAAGCUAAGCUCAAGGCCACUAAACAAAAUAGAAUGAACAAGGUCAGACAUGACUUUAAAAAAAAAAAAAACAACACAACAAAAUGAUAACCAGAACAGAGAGACAGACUCCUUCAUUGUGUCCAAACAGCAGCAAGUAAAACUAUAUAAAAAGGAUGAGUUUACCAUUCAAAAAUCACCGUGCAGAAACAAUCUGCACGGCACUGUUUCUUAUUUUCUUAAGAGCAAGCUGUGACAGUGCCAGAAGUCUGAAAUGAAGGGCAACAUGCAUGAGCACCAUCACAUUAGCAGAUAAAGAGCAAAUUGGUGACCCCAGUCAUGUCAGAGCAGCAUCACUG